CUUACCCAUGUCUUUUGAGUACCUUCGUUUCCUCGGCGGGUCCGCCCGCCGAUUGGACAACAUUCAAACCCUUUGCAGUUGCAAUCAGCGUCUGAAAAAACAUAAUAGUUACAACUUUCAACAACGGAUCUCUUGGUUCUGGCAUCGAUGAAGAACGCAGCGAAAUGCGAUAAGUAGUGUGAAUUGCAGAAUUCAGUGAAUCAUCGAAUCUUUGAACGCACAUUGCGCCCCUUGGUAUUCCAUGGGGCAUGCCUGUUCGAGCGUCAUUUGUACCUUCAAGCUCUGCUUGGUGUUGGGUGUUUGUCUCGCCUCUGCGUGUAGACUCGCCUUAAAACAAUUGGCAGCCGGCGUAUUGAUUUCGGAGCGCAGUACAUCUCGCGCUUUGCACUCAUAACGACGACGUCCAAAAGUACAUUUUUACACUCUUGACCUCGGAUCAGGUAGGGAUACCCGCUGAACUUAAGCAUAUCAAUA
rnacentral:rRNA from 1 species